AACAAGGUUUCCGUAGGUGAACCUGCGGAAGGAUCAUUAACGAGUUUUGAAACGGGUUGUAGCUGGCCUUCCGAGGCAUGUGCACACCCUGCUCAUCCACUCUACACCUGUGCACUUACUGUAGGUUGGCGUGGGCUCCUUCACGGGAGCAUUCUGCCGGCCUAUGUAUACUACAAACACUAAAGUAACAGAAUGUAAACGCGUCUAACGCAUCUUAAUACAACUUUUAGCAACGGAUCUCUUGGCUCUCGCAUCGAUGAAGAACGCAGCGAAAUGCGAUAAGUAAUGUGAAUUGCAGAAUUCAGUGAAUCAUCGAAUCUUUGAACGCACCUUGCGCUCCUUGGUAUUCCGAGGAGCAUGCCUGUUUGAGUGUCAUGGAAUUCUCAACCCUUAAAUCCUUGUGAUCUAUGGGCUUGGACUUGGAGGCUUGCUGGCCCUAGUGGUCGGCUCCUCUUGAAUGCAUUAGCUUGAUUCCGUACGGAUCGGCUCUCAGUGUGAUAAUUGUCUACGCUGUGACCGUGAAGUGUUUUGGCAAGCUUCUAACCGUCCAUUAGGACAAUCUUUUAACAUCUGACCUCAAAUCAGGUAGGACUACCCGCUGAACUUAAGCAUAUCAAU
rnacentral:rRNA from 1 species